AGCAAACCCGCAAGGUAAGAAAACACGAAGACUUUGAGGCAGGAAGGACAGAUACAAUGGGAACUCACUCUCCUGACUGAAGAACCAGACUUCAUUUCAAGCCCCAGAGCUGAAUCUUCUGAGAGACCAGCAAAAAAGAAUGGAGAGCAUCCUGGGGAUGCCCCUGGUGAUCCUGUGGAUUCAGCUGUGCAGAGUAAACAGCCAACAAGGAGAAGAGAUUCCCUGGGCUCUGAGCAUCCAGGAGGGGGAAAACGCCACUGUGAGCUGCAGUUACCAAACUGCUAUUACCAACCUGUGCUGGUAUCGACAGGAGGCCGGUGGAGGUCCUACCCCACUGAUUUUAAUUCGUUCAAAUGAGAGAGAGAAACACAGUGGAAGACUGAGAGCCACCCUUGACACCGCCACCAAAACCAGCUCCCUGUCCAUCACAGCUGCCCGGGACACAGACGCUGCUGCUUACUUCUGUGCUACAGAGGCACAGUGUGCAGCGGGCACCUGCAGCACCACACAAACCCCCGGCUGCUUUCUGGGCAUGAACUUGCAACGGGAAGCAAACUCCAGGCUCAGUUCUGCCAUCCUGGCUACCUAUGCUCAGGCUUAUCAUCAGUGUAGCAGCCUUUGAUUUUUGUCAUUUGAUAUGAAAGACUUGGAUCUCUGAGCACGGAAAGCUUCCUGCUCUAAUUCUAGUGUAACGGCAACAAUCGGGCUGUAUUCCACAAAAGACUGAAGGGCUCUAUUUUGAACAAAAAGAGUUUAUUAAAUAAAUUUAGACCAGUCACCGCUCAUCUCUGACUUACAGGAACGUGGGCCCCAGCCUGCCUUUGUUCCCACCUUAUAUACAUUUUUGAUUUCCAUGGUAACAGAUUGGAAUGUUGUAGCCCUGGCCACACCUUGUUUUCCUUGGCCACGUGCCCGGGUCAGGUGCCCAACCACAAUGAAAUACUUUCUGUACUCUGUGCUAUAUGUCCCCCUUUAGAUUA